ACGUAAUGCAUGGCUUCGGCCACCAUUAUCACCCUUGACUUUGAGCACCUUUUCGUUUCCUCGGCGGGUUCGCCCGCCAGCGAGGACCCCUUAAACACUUUGUAGUAAGCAAUUUUUGUCUGAAAUACAACCAAUAAUCA
rnacentral:misc_RNA from 1 species